UCUCAUUUGAGUAGGCUCUAUCAGAGGGAAGGUCUAGGGCUGAAGGCUGUUUGUCAGAUUCUUUUGUUCCACAGCGUGGCCAGAGCUGUAGUGAUUGUUGCCUCUUUUCUGGAUCUGGCCACUCUGUAUAGACAACCCCCAGUACCAGCCCGGAGCCUGGUAGACUUGGUGCUUCUCAUGUACUACUGCUACCACCAUGAUGCUGUCCACUAAAGAACACUUUUUGGUACUGGGGGUUGUCUGUACAGAGUCCUGUGUUGUGAACCAUCUGUCAGUCUCUCAGCCAUGGAUACAAGCACACUAUUUGGGUUGUCUCCUGGGUCCUACAGGAGCAAUCCGCUUCCUUCAGGGAAUCUGUGGGUCCUCUCAGGUUUCCCGAUUUAUGCCUGCAGUCAUUCUGGAGUAAAAAUUCAUGAUAGGCGCCUCCACAUGCUACUCUGUUCAUCUAAGUCAGAGCCACAAUGUAUUCCUGCCUCCCAUCUGCCAUGAUCACCUCCCUCACUUUUGAUUCUUCAUCUCUUGAUUCCUCUCCAGAUGCUUUUAUGAUUCUACAAAUCAGGGUUGCCCAGGACAAGGAUAACAGCAAGAAAUAUCUCAAAUUCCCUCUGAAAGCUCUAGGAUCUAAUUAGCACUUAUAUGGAAAAGUCACAUUCCUAAUAAAAAUAAGAUGCAGAAACCUCCAAGUUGGCACUGUAAGAAGAAUUUCUUAAAAAGGAAAGAAAAAUGAAUUAAGAAAUCCCAGCCUUUCUUUCCAAGCUUCACCCUCCUCCUGGCGCUUCUCACAUACUACUGCUGCAACCAUGAUGCACGAAAGAACACUUUCUGCCUUUAACAUUUGUGGAUCUUCAUCUCAUGAGCUUAACACCUGGAGAGAGGAAAGGUUCCUUUUGUUAAAGAAAUGCCCUUACUUGAUGGAACAUCAAAACCUCAUUAUAUUGCAAACAUUGGACUAUAAAAGAUGGAGAAUGAGCAAUUCUACUUAGCCGCUGCAGCCCUCCACACGGUGCCCCAGAAGGACAAUGAGUUCCAAAGGUCAGGGUUACACAUGGCGUGGUAAGUGUUUUUCUCCUUCUAACACUCAACAGGCUUGGAAAAUGGCCAAUGUUAGAGACAGAGAGAGAGAGAGAGGGAGAGGGAAAGAGGGAGGGAGAGAGAGAGAGAGAGGGAGAGAGGGGGUUGGGGAAGGGGAGAGAGAGAGAGAGUCAGUCUGUAGUCAGGCUUCUUCAAGAAUGAAAAAUAAACUUUCUUCCCCCCCUGCAGAAAAAAAAAAAUUGAAAAAAGACAAACCCUGAAGAAAAGCAGACAGCUGCUAACUAGUUGUCUAGCUGUCUAUUUGUGGACACUUCCUUUCAUCUUGUCAUAUCUUUUGUGGUGUUUGAAAUGUUUGGAGCUUAAGAGUGGAAGAACACUCAGUGGAAUCCAAACUUUUAUUAAAAGAAAGGGAAAGAGAGACAGCACAGUUCUGACAACAAGUGAGUAUUUCAAUGUUGGGGCCAUAUUCUGCCCAAAUAUCAAGCAGAGGAGCCCUCUAUUUCUAGCUAAAUGAAGCAGAAAACAUAUUUCGAUUAAAAAUACGCAAGAAGAUAACGUGUAGGAAACCAACUUAUUUUGUGGGAAGGCUGCAGAGGGAUACAAAUGGACCUUAAGAAGGGGCCAGGAGGAGAGGGGCCUCCUUCCCAGGCUUGGCCAGGGUCCCUUUGUGCUGGUUCAUUGGAAUGCUAAUUUCUGCUCCAUUGUCCCUGAGAAGCCACUCUGCUUUCUCGCACUGGAAGCCCUUUCUCAUUCUCUUGUCUUUGGUGGUCUUCACCAGCUGCUUCUAUUAGCUUAGAGCCUCAGGAGAUUUUAUUUCCAUGAAUGUUGUUUUGUGCAGACCUCUGUUUCUAUUUGAUCGAUUCAUCCAUUUGAUUCUCAUUCCUUCUUGCAUUCAUCCUCAGGGGUUAAACCACCAGAUUAUGGUUUCCUUGUCAAAAUUAGAAACCCAAAGUGGACUGUCACAAGGAUCCUGGGGAUUUUGUCUUUGACAUCCAUUUCGGAGGAAAUGGAGAUUGAAAUCUUAGCAGGAGAAUCUCUUCAGGGACUCUGAUUUUUCUUUAAAAGGAACCAAGUCCUGAAUUAAAAUAAAUACCUAGACUUCAGAUGAGGCAUCAGAGAAUCAACAGAAGGCCUAAGUCUUUGUUUCACUGGCUGUCUGUGUGCACCAUAAUUAAGGGGAAAGAGCUUAGGGAAUUAUCCACAGCUCAGCUUUCAUAGCCAGUUUUCUUUUCAAAUUGGAUACUUAACAUAUCGCUCAGAGAAUGUAUUUCAAAGACUUCGCUAGGUGCCUAUGGUAUGCUGUGGCAUUGACAGAUGGGCAGAAGCUGGAAAGAUGGGUGGGUUCUGUUCCUUCAUGUCCUAAAAUACCAACAGCUGUUAGGCUGCACAUUUCUGUGCUACUUGGGGCUUUUUACCUAGCAUUGGAGUAUGUUGUGCUCUUCUCUCCUUUCCUCUACUGCAUGAGGAGGCAACUGGUGUAGAGUGACAAGGUGGGAAGAACAAAAGCAGAGUCUUUCAGAUCUGGUUUCUGCCACCCCUCCUCUCUGGGCCUCAUCUGUAAAAUGGGGUAAAUCUGCUCUGUGGCUGUGAGGAUUAUAUGAGAUCACAUAUGUAAAGUUCCAGGGAUCUGGAAGGCAUUCGAGAAAAAUUAAUCACAUACUCUUCUAUCCUUCACCCCUACCCUCAUGGAAGAUUGAGGAAUGACUCUAAACCUAAUAAGCAGUUUAUUGCUGUCCCUCAAAUGUGUCAUGCUUCUUCCUGUCUCCAUGAUUUAUUUGGCACUGCUGCCCUUCUGAUUGGAAUGGUCGUUCCCUAGAUUCCCCCCAUGGCUGGCUCCUAGGCAUCAUUCAAGUCUGAGUUCAAAGGUUGCUUUUUCCAAAGGCUCUUCUUGCCCUGGUUAAAAAUAACCCUUGGCUACUAUUCACAAUAGUAAAGACAUGGAACCAACCUGAAUGCCCAUCAAUGAUAGACUGGAUAAAGAAAAUGUGGUACAUAUACACCAUGAAAUACUAUGCAGGCAUAAAAGGGAAUGAGAUCAUGUCCUUUGCAGGAAUAUGGAUGAAGUUGGAAGCCAUCAUCCUCAGCAAACUAAUACAGGAACAGAAAAACCAAACACUGCAUGUUCUCACUCAUAUGUAGGAGCUGAACAAUGAGAACACAUGGACACAGGGAGGGAAACAACACACACCAGGGCCUGUUGGGGAAGGGGAUGAGGGGAGGGAGAGCAUCAGGACAAAUGACUGACGCAUAUGGGGUUUAAUACCUAGGUGACGGGUUGAUAGGUGCAGCAAACCACCACGGCACACACUUACCUGCACAUUCUGCUCGUGUAUCCUGGAACUUUAAUGUAAAAGAAAAGGAAAAAAAAAAAAAAAAAAACAAACAAACCCUAGGCUAGUCCCUUAAGUCAUCUAGUUUUUUUUUUCCUAGUACAGCAAUCUCAAGUGUUCUUUUUUCUUACCUUGAUGCAUAUUAUCUGCUUCUCUCUGCUAGAACGUAAGAACCAAGAGUAUAUAAACUUUGUCUCAUUCACUAGAAUACUGUGUGGCACAGAUGUUUAUGUACUUUGUCCUGGUGCUGCCUGGGGAUAUGGGCAUGAAUAGGACCCAGACCCUACUCUCCAGGAACUUUCAGUCAUGUAAAGAAAUAGUUUAUAAUGCACACAAGAUUCUUGUGACUACUUUUGGUUUUCACAGAGUAGGGAGACAUAGACACAUACAAUUUUAUAUAGUAAUCUGAGGCCAGUGCAUCAAUAGAAGUGUGUUCUAGGUGAUACAAGAAAGAUUUGAUGAUUCUGCCUGGGUGUGCUAAGUAAGGUUUCCAGGAGGAGAGGUAAUUCAGCUAGGAUUUGCAGGAUUAACUGCAGGUCCUGGUUAGGUAGACUGUGGUGGAAAGGCAUUCUCAGCAGGAAACCUGGAGCUACAACACAGCACACAGCACACAGCAUAUAGUGGCAAAUAGCUUGUUCAGGUUUUUAUAUUAAGCCUGUAGGAUUUCAGCAUACUGGCUUCUGCUCUGCAUUCCAACCUUGUAGGAUUAUUUUCAAUUCUUCAUCCUGACAUGUGCGAUAUUAAAAAUCUCUCCUGACUUGGAGUCAUCUGAAAUAUGUCCAUAAAGCCCUAUAAAACUGGCCAGUGGCUGGAAUUGAAGGGGUAAGAAUGGAAAUGGGCAUAGAAGGGAGAUAUUUACCUGAGAAAGGUUUAAAAUAGAACCAAUCAUGGGGCAGGAGUGUGGGGUGGAAAGAGCUCUGGGCCAGAAGUUAGAAGAUCUGGUCCCUCACUCUUUCUGUCACUUGUGCAGUCUUAGAUUAUUUCAUGUAUCUAAGCCUCAGUUUCUUCAUAAAGCAACAACAGCAACAACAAAAUAAAAUAACGAAGUGUGGCUAGUAAUACCUGGUAAGAUUGGGAAUCACAGAAAAUGAGUUUGAGCUUCCAAGGAAUCUUCACUGCAAUUUAAGUGAUGCUAAGGGCUAUGAGAAUACCUGGAGGUGCUAGGAUUCUAUGGACUCUAAAUGCUUAUUGUUAUUUGACUUUUUUCCUAACCAUUUUCAGGUUUAGAUUUGCAAAAUAUUUUCAAUUCCUUGUUUUUCCCAAUCUCCCCUACAUUCAUUUGUAAUCAAUAAUGUCGGUUUUUCCAUAUUGUCAGCCAACAGCUUAGCAUGGGAUAUUUCUAUCCCAGAUAUUCCUCCAAAAAGCUAAUCAAAUAAUACCAGUUUUUUGCUCAGACAGAUGUUAGUGAAGAUUAGAGAGAGUCACUGAGAAUCAUGCCCUAUGUCAGUACGUUGAAUCCAUUUUUCAAAGUUUUCAGGGUGUAGGUCUCUCUGUUGCCACGAGAUGAGCUGGGGUUGAGCCCUCAACUGGCUGGACUGUUGGCAUGUGUCCUGUGAAAGCUUUAAGGAACCCUGGGCAUGAUCUGAUCCACCUACCUCAUUUUACAGAAGAAUAAGUUGAGGCCCUAAGAGGAAGGAAUUCGUUCAAGCUUUGACAGUCAGUAAAUGAGCUAAAACAAAGUGAAACAGACAACAAAGCAGGAGAAAUCACCUGUGGCAUAGCCUUCCCUAUUCUAUUUUAUAUUUAAAAUCUAUUUUAAAAUUAUCAAUAUAUGAAUUUGUCUCAGAAAGGAUCAGACUGACUUUUAAAAAUAUACACUACAAAAAGUUUUCUAAAAAGUAAUUGAGAAUGACAGGGCACUCGCCCACAGACGGAGAGAAAAUAUUUGCAAGAGAUGUGUCUGAUAAAGGACUGUUAUUCAAAAUAUACAAAGUACUGUUAAAAUUCAACAAUAAGAAAAUAAACAACCCAGUUACAAAAAUGGGCAAAAGAUCUGAACAGACAUCACACCAAAGAAGAUACACAAAUGUUGAAUAAGCAUAUAAGCACAUGAAAAGAUGCUCACAUUAUGUGUCAUUAGGGAACUGAAAAUUAAAACAAUGAGAUACACACUUUUUAGGGUGACUAAAAUCCAAACCACUAACACCACCAAAUGCUGGGAAGUGGUGGAGCAAGAGGAACUCUCAUUAGUUGCUGGUGCGAGUGCAAAAUGAUACAUCCACUGUAUUAGUGGGCUGUCAUGUUGCUAAUAAAGACAUACUCGAGACUAGGUAAUUUAUAAAGAAAAGAGGAUUUUUUUUUCUUUUUUGAGACAGAGUCUUGCUCUGUUGCCCAGGCUGGAGUGCAGUGGCGCCCUCUCAGCUCACUUCAACCCCUGCCUCCUGGGUUCAAGCAAUUCUCUUGCCUCAGCCUCCCAAGUAGCUGGGAUUACAGAUGCGCCACCACCACGCCCGGCUAAUUUUUUUGUAUUUUUAGUAGAGAUGGGGUUUCACCAUGUUGGUCAGGCUGGUCUAGAACUCCUGACCUCAAAUGAUCUACCUGCCUCAGCCUCCCAAAGUGCUGGGAUUACAGGCGUGAGCCACUGCGCCUGGCCAAGAAAAGAGGUUUGACUCACUGUUCCGCAUAGCUGAGGAGCCCUCAGGAAACUUACAAUCAUGGCAGAAGGCACCUUUUCAUAGUGUGGCAGGAGACAGAAUGAGAGAAUAAUAGCCAAGUGAAGGGGGAAGCCCCUUAUAAAACUACCAGAUCUUAUGAGAACUCACUCACUAUCACAAGAACAGUAUGGGGAAAACCACCAUACUGUUGUAAUAAUCCCCUUGACACUUGGGGAUUAUUACAAUUCAAGAUGAGAUUUUGAGUAGGGACACAGCCAAACCAUAUCAGCCACUUUGGGAGACAUUUUUGCAGUUUUUUUUACAAAUUAAACAUAUAUUUACCCUACAAUCUAGCAGUUGUGCUUCUUGGUAUUUACCAAAAGGAAUUAAAAACUUACCUGUGUAACAAACCUGCACAUCCUGCGCAUGUACCCCAGAACUAAAAAUAAAAAUUAAAUUUUUAAAAAACUGAAAAAAAAACUUAUGUUCACAUAAUAACCUGUACACAGAUAUUUAACACAGUUUUAUUCAUAAUUGUCAAAACUUGAAAGCAACCAAGCAGUUAGUGAAUGUAUAAAUAAACUGGUGUAUCCAGACAGUGGAAUAUUAUUCAGUGUUAAAAAGAAAUAAACUAUCAAACCAUAGAAGAACCUUAAAUGCAUAUUACUAAGUGUAAGAUCAAUCUGAAAAUGCUACAUACUGUGUGACUACAACUGUAUGACAUUCUGGAACAGACAAAACUCCGGAGACAGUAAAAAGAUCAGUGGCUGCCAGAGAUUUGGGAGAUGGGAGGAAUGAAUGGGCAGAGCACAGAUGAUUUUUUGGUCAGUGAGCUACUCUGUAUGAUACUAUAAUGGUAGAUACAAGUGAUUAUACACAUAUCAAAACCCAUAGAGCAUAUAACACCAAGAGUCAACCCUAAUGUAAAUGAUGGAUUUGGGAUGAAAAGGAUGUAUCAAUGUAGGUUCAUGGAAUGUGACAAAUGUAUAAUAUCAUUCUGGUGUGUGAUAUUAAUAGCGGGAGAGACAGUGUGGCUGGGGGCAGGGAAGAGGAGAAUAUGGGAACUGUACUUUCUGCUCAAAUUUGCUGUGAACCUAAAAGUACUCUAAAAAAAUAAAAUCUGUAUUUAAAAAAGCAAUUGAGGAAAUGAGGACAAAAAGAAAAUAAUAACAGAGAAAUAAGUUCAAAACUUGGAUAAGGUUAAUGAAUAAAAUGUGUGCACAUUUCCUAGAGAUGGGGUACACAUUUAAUUUCUGAGCAGUUAAGGCAAAAACAAUAAUAGUAUCCAUAAGUGAAAAACAGUUUAGCAUACUUAAUCCUGGGACUAAGACCAGAGAAGAAUUUCUCUUACGUUUCUUUUUACCAGAGACAGGAUAAAGUAGUGAACUAUGUCCUCAACAACAUUUGCUAAGUAACAACAACAACAAAAUAAUAAUGAGUUUCAUAGGGUAGAAGUCUUGGCUUUAUAAUAAAUACACAUUCCCCAAAGAGGUCCUACUUUGAAUGACCACCAGGGAUGCACUAGUCUGGCAGCGUGGGUCUGCACGAGUAAGUGCCUGUCAGGCCUUCUGAAAGAAGUGGUAGACGUGCUGGGGCUGGCUGCUCCUUGUCAGGGGAGAACAUGAUGUCCUCAAUUCUCAGGCAGUGGACUGGAUGCCAGGAAGGGCUGACAUUCACCAGACAUUAAUUAAAUACCAGGAUAGUGAGGUGAUUUGGGGUACAGCACUGUCAUGGUGUUGACCUCCUUCCUUCUAAGAAACUUGUCUCAGCUUCUGAAAGAAUAUUGGACAAAAUUGCAAGAAUGAGGAGAUUUUAAAACCAGUUUUAUUGAGGUAUGAUUUGCAUACAUCAACAUUUAUGCAUGCUAAUGUACAGGUUGUGAACCCAUGUAACUCUCACUCCAAUAGAGUUAUAGAAGAUUCCCAUUUCCUUAGAACAUUCUCUCAAUGUGUCUUUCUUUUCAUUCUCUUCCCCCUGCCUCUGGUACCUACUCCCCCAUUCCGGACCAAUGCUGAUUUACUAUCUCUACAGAUUAGUUUUGUCUUGCUAGCAUUUCAUAUAAAUGGAAUCAUAUGAUAUGUGUCUUUUCAUGUCUGGGUCUUUCACUUUGCACAUCUGUGAGAUUCACCAAUACCAUCGAGAGUAUUAGUAAUGCAUUCCUGCUUAUUGCUGAUGACUAUUCCAUUUCACAAAUAUACCAUAAUUAUUCAUUCACCUGUUGAACAUUUUGGUUUUUCCCAUUUUGGGAUAUUAUGAAUAAACUUGCUAUGAACUUCCAUGUACAAGUCAUUGUGUGGACAUAAGUUGUCAUUUCUACUGCUACUGCCACUAAUGGGUUGUGUCCUGUGUUAAAGGUAACUACUGCUCAUAUGCAGUGCCCCUUUCUGCCUGCUUUCCUCUUCCUUUUUCCUUUCUGGAGCUCAACAUAAGACAGCUCCUCUUGUAUUUCUUAUUCUGCUAUGGUAACACAUACUCAGAUAGUGCCUCCUCUUUAUUGAGGCACAUCAUUCUUUCUGUCCCACCUUUUUACUGAAGGACUGAAGGGCUCACUGGAGGUGUGCCUCAGCCUCUAAGUUCUCAAUUUUGGUUUUAGUGGAAACUUUGCUCUAAAACAGCUUUU